UAGGGAAUCUUCGGCAAUGGGGGCAACCCUGACCGAGCAACGCCGCGUGAGUGAAGAAGGUUUUCGGAUCGUAAAGCUCUGUUGUAAGUCAAGAACGGGUGUGAGAGUGGAAAGUUCACACUGUGACGGUAGCUUACCAGAAAGGGACGGCUAACUACGUGCCAGCAGCCGCGGUAAUACGUAGGUCCCGAGCGUUGUCCGGAUUUAUUGGGCGUAAAGCGAGCGCAGGCGGUUUGAUAAGUCUGAAGUAAAGGCUGUGGCUCAACCAUAGUUCGCUUUGGAAACUGUCAAACUUGAGUGCAGAAGGGGAGAGUGGAAUUCCAUGUGUAGCGGUGAAAUGCGUAGAUAUAUGGAGGAACACCGGUGGCGAAAGCGGCUCUAUGGUCUGUAACUGACGCUGAGGCUCGAAAGCGUGGGGAGCGAACAGG
rnacentral:rRNA from 1 species